UCCCUGGUGGCUUAGGCGGUAAAGCGUCUACCUACAAUGUAGGAGACCCGGGUUCAGUCCCUGGGUUGGGAA
rfam:Ovis aries breed Texel chromosome 1, whole genome shotgun sequence.